rnacentral:rRNA from 1 species
AUUGAACGCUGGCGGCAUGCCUUACACAUGCAAGUCGAACGGUAACAGGUUAAGCUGACGAGUGGCGAACGGGUGAGUAAUAUAUCGGAACGUGCCCAGUCGUGGGGGAUAACGUAGCGAAAGCUACGCUAAUACCGCAUACGAUCUACGGAUGAAAGCGGGGGAUCGCAAGACCUCGCGCGAUUGGAGCGGCCGAUAUCAGAUUAGGUUGUUGGUGAGGUAAAAGCUCACCAAGCCUGCGAUCUGUAGCUGGUCUGAGAGGACGACCAGCCACACUGGUACUGAGACACGGUCCAGACUCCUACGGGAGGCAGCAGUGGGGAAUUUUGGACAAUGGACGCAAGUCUGAUCCAGCAAUGCCGCGUGCAGAACGAAGGCCUUCGGGUUGUAAACUGCUUUUGUACGGAACGAAACGGUGAGCUCUAAUACAGUUUGCUAAUGACGGUACCGUAAGAAUAAGCACCGGCUAACUACGUGCCAGCAGCCGCAGUAA